rnacentral:rRNA from 1 species
AUACGGAGGGUGCGAGCGUUAAUCGGAAUUACUGGGCGUAAAGGGUGCGUAGGCGGCUUGAUAAGUCGGAUGUGAAAGCCCCGGGCUUAACCUGGGAAUUGCAUUCGAUACUGUCAGGCUAGAGUAUGUCAGAGGUUGGCGGAAUUCCUGAUGUAGCGGUGAAAUGCGUAGAUAUCAGGAGGAACACCAGUGGCGAAGGCGGCUAACUGGGGCAAUACUGACGCUGAGGCACGAAAGCGUGGGGAGCAAACAGGAUUAGAAACCCUAGUAGUCC